UGGAUUAGGCAUGCAAGUCGAACGAGGGAGUGUGCCGAAAGGUGCACAAACCGAGUGGCGUAAGGGUGAGUAAUGCAUUGAUAACCUACCUUUGAGACGGGGAUAACAACGUUCCGCAAGGGACUCCCGAAAGGGUUGCUAAUACCCGAUAAAACUCUUGGUGCUUAGGUAUCGAGAGUCAAAGGUUUGGGGCCGAAAGGUUCCAUAUGCUCAGAGAGGGGUCAAUGUCCUAUCAGCUAGUUGGUAGGGUAAAGGCCUACCAAGGCGAAGACGGGUAGCCGGCCUGAGAGGGUGGUCGGCCACAUUGGGACUGAGACACUGCCCAGACUCCUACGGGAGGCUGCAGUCGAGAAUCUUUCGCAAUGCCCGGAAGGGUGACGAAGCGACGCCGCGUGUGGGAAGAAGGCCUUCGGGUUGUAAACCACUGUCGGGAGUUAAGAAGUGUAAGGGGGUGAAUAGUCCUCUUGCUUGACGUUAGCUCCGGAGGAAGCCACGGCUAACUCUGUGCCAGCAGCCGCGGUAAUACAGAGGUGGCAAGCGUUGUUCGGAAUUAUUGGGCGUAAAGAGCACGUAGGUGGCCCUACAAGUCAGCUGUGAAAUCCUUCUGCUCAACGGAAGAACGGCAGUUGAUACUAUAGGGCUCGAGUGCGGGAGGGGAGAGUGGAACUUCUGGUGGAGCGGUGAAAUGCGUAGAUAUCAGAAGGAACAUCGGCGGCGAAAGCGACUCUCUGGCCCGUAACUGACGCUGAGGUGCGAAAGCUAGGGGAGCAAACGGGAUUAGAUACCCCGGUAGUCCUAGCCGUAAACGAUGGGCACUAAGUAGAGGGGUUU
rnacentral:rRNA from 1 species